rnacentral:rRNA from 1 species
GAUGAACGCUAGCGGCAGGCCUAACACAUGCAAGUCGAGGGGCAGCACAUAAAGUGGUUUACUACUUUUGGUGGCGACCGGCGGACGGGUGCGUAACGCGUAUGCAACCUGCCUCCAACAGGGGGAUAACGGAGAGAAAUUUCCACUAAUACCCCAUAAUAUCAGAAUCGGCAUCGGUUUUGGUUGAAAACUCCGGUGGUUGGAGAUGGGCAUGCGUUGUAUUAGAUAGUUGGUGAGGUAACGGCUCACCAAGUCAACGAUACAUAGGGGGACUGAGGGGUUCGCCCCCCACACUGGUACUGAGACACGGACGAGACUCCUACGGGAGGCAGCAGUGGGGAAUAUUGGUCGAUGGGGGCAACCCUGAACCAGCCAUGCCGCGUGCAGGAAGACGGCUCUAUGAGUUGUAAACUGCUUUUACAAGGGGAUAAAUCGGUGUACGUGUACACCGUUGAAGGUACCUUGGGAAUAAGGAUCGGCUAACUCCGUGCCAGCCGCCGCCGUAA